UGAGCAACCUGCCCUUGACUCUGGAAUAACAGUUGGAAACAGCUGCUAAUACCGGAUAUGACCUCUGACGACAUCGUCUGGAGGUGGAAAGCUCCGGCGGUCAAGGAUGAGCUCGCGGCCUAUCAGCUUGUUGGUGAGGUAAUAGCUCACCAAGGCGAUGGACGGGUAGCCGGCCUGAGGAGGGUCGACCGGCCACACGUGGGACUGAGACACGGCCCAGACCUCCG
rnacentral:rRNA from 1 species